rnacentral:rRNA from 1 species
CCUACGGGUGGCAGCAGUGAGGAAUAUUGGUCAAUGGACGAGAGUCUGAACCAGCCAAGUAGCGUGAAGGAUGACUGCCCUAUGGGUUGUAAACUUCUUUUAUAUGGGAAUAAAAUGUUCCACGUGUGGGAUUUUGUAUGUACCAUAUGAAUAAGGAUCGGCUAACUCCGUGCCAGCAGCCGCGGUAAUACGGAGGAUCCGAGCGUUAUCCGGAUUUAUUGGGUUUAAAGGGAGCGUAGGUGGAUUGUUAAGUCAGUUGUGAAAGUUUGCGGCUCAACCGUAAAAUUGCAGUGGAAACUGGCAGUCUUGAGUACAGUAGAGGUGGGCGGAAUUCGUGGUGUAGCGGUGAAAUGCUUAGAUAUCACGAAGAACUCCGAUUGCGAAGGCAGUUCACUGGACUGCAACUGACACUGAGGCUCGAAAGUGUGGGUAUCAAACAGGAUUAGAUACCCUAGUAGUC